rnacentral:lncRNA from 1 species
GCCGGUGGAGUUGCUUUUACCGUGAGCGCUUCCCUUUGCGGUGGAGAGCCUCCAUCUGCGAGGAAGAGGACGCACGCUCGCACGCACUCAAGGCCUCCUUUGCUCAAUCAGCCCUACUUCCAAAGGCCUGAGGACAGGAUGGGGGAUCUAAAGGUUACUCCAGUGCCCUCCCAAACCACUGGUGACUGACAGAGCCAACAGAGCUCUACCACAAGGCAUGGUGGCACAAGCCGGUAAGGGGACAUAAGAGACAGGUCCACGAGUUCAAGGCCAUCCUUUAGUAGAGAGUGAAUUCCAGGCCAACUGAAACAUGAGCCCCUUUCUCAAACACAGUAAGUAUACUGGCACAUUAAGUGUGAAAAACAACAAAACAAAACAAAACAAAACAAAACAAACAAAAAAAAGAGAAGUGUGAUGAAGGCUAGAGAGAUGGCUCAGCAGUUAAGAGCACUAGCUGCUCUUCCAGAGGUCCCGAGUUCAAUUCCCA